rnacentral:misc_RNA from 1 species
GCAAACUUGGUCAUUUAGAGGAAGUAAAAGUCGUAACAAGGUCUCCGUAGGUGAACCUGCGGAGGGAUCAUUACCGAGUGCGCGGGCUUCGGCCCCGACCUCCCAACCCUUUGAUUUGAUCAAGACCUCGUUUUUGCCUCGGGGGUGACCCGGCCCUCGGGCCGCCGUCCCCCCGGUGGUCAUCCAACCAAACCCUGCAUCAAUUGUCGUCCGAGUCCAUUUGUUAAUACAAUCAAAACUUUCAACAACGGAUCUCUUGGUUCUGGCAUCGAUGAAGAACGCAGC